rnacentral:rRNA from 1 species
UACGUAGGCAGCAAGCGUUGUUCGGAGUUACUGGGCGUAAAGGGUGCGUAGGCGGUUGUUUAAGUUUGGUGUGAAAUCUCCCGGCUCAACUGGGAGGGUGCGCCGAAUACUGAGGGACUAGAGUACGGGAGAGGAAAGUGGAAUUCCUGGUGUAGCGGUGAAAUGCGUAGAUAUCAGGAGGAACACCGGUGGUGUAGACGGCUUUCUGGACCGACGCUGACGCUGAGACACGAAAGCGUGGGUAGCAAACAGG